AUCCUGGCUCAGGACGAACGCUGGCGGCGUGCCUAACACAUGCAAGUCGAGCGAUGAAGCUUCCUUCGGGAAGUGGAUUAGCGGCGGACGGGUGAGUAACACGUGGGUAACCUGCCUCAAAGUGGGGAAUAGCCUUCCGAAAGGAAGAUUAAUACCGCAUAACGUAAGAGAAUCGCAUGAUUUUCUUACCAAAGAUUUAUCGCUUUGAGAUGGACCCGCGGCGCAUUAGCUAGUUGGUGAGGUAACUGCUCACCAAGGCAACGAUGCGUAGCCGACCUGAGAGGGUGAUCGGCCACAUUGGAACUGAGACACGGUCCAGACUCCUACGGGAGGCAGCAGUGGGGAAUAUUGCGCAAUGGGGGAAACCCUGACGCAGCAACGCCGCGUGAGUGAUGAAGGUCUUCGGAUUAUAAAGCUCUGUUUUCUAGGACGAUAAUGACGGUACUAGAAGAGGAAGCCACGGCUAACUACGUGCCAGCAGCCGCGGUAAUACGUAGGUGGCGAGCGUUGUCCGGAUUUACUGGGCGUAAAGGGUGCGUAGGCGGAUUCUUAAGUGGGAUGUGAAAUACCCGGGCUUAACUUGGGUGCUGCAUUCCAAAC
rnacentral:rRNA from 1 species